GAUGAACGCUGGCGGCGUGCCUGAUACAUGCAAGUCGAGCGAACGGACGAGAAGCUUGCUUCUCUGAUGUUAGCGGCGGACGGGUGAGUAACACGUGGAUAACCUACCUAUAAGACUGGGAUAACUUCGGGAAACCGGAGCUAAUACCGGAUAAUAUUUUGAACCGCAUGGUUCAAAAGUGAAAGACGGUCUUGCUGUCACUUAUAGAUGGAUCCGCGCUGCAUUAGCUAGUUGGUAAGGUAACGGCUUACCAAGGCAACGAUGCAUAGCCGACCUGAGAGGGUGAUCGGCCACACUGGAACUGAGACACGGUCCAGACUCCUACGGGAGGCAGCAGUAGGGAAUCUUCCGCAAUGGGCGAAAGCCUGACGGAGCAACGCCGCGUGAGUGAUGAAGGUCUUCGGAUCGUAAAACUCUGUUAUUAGGGAAGAACAUAUGUGUAAGUAACUGUGCACAUCUUGACGGUACCUAAUCAGAAAGCCACGGCUAACUACGUGCCAGCAGCCGCGGUAAUACGUAGGUGGCAAGCGUUAUCCGGAAUUAUUGGGCGUAAAGCGCGCGUAGGCGGUUUUUUAAGUCUGAUGUGAAAGCCCACGGCUCAACCGUGGAGGGUCAUUGGAAACUGGAAAACUUGAGUGCAGAAGAGGAAAGUGGAAUUCCAUGUGUAGCGGUGAAAUGCGCAGAGAUAUGGAGGAACACCAGUGGCGAAGGCGACUUUCUGGUCUGUAACUGACGCUGAUGUGCGAAAGCGUGGGGAUCAAACAGGAUUAGAUACCCUGGUAGUCCACGCCGUAAACGAUGAGUGCUAAGUGUUAGGGGGUUUCCGCCCCUUAGUGCUGCAGCUAACGCAUUAAGCACUCCGCCUGGGGAGUACGACCGCAAGGUUGAAACUCAAAGGAAUUGACGGGGACCCGCACAAGCGGUGGAGCAUGUGGUUUAAUUCGAAGCAACGCGAAGAACCUUACCAAAUCUUGACAUCCUUUGACAACUCUAGAGAUAGAGCCUUCCCCUUCGGGGGACAAAGUGACAGGUGGUGCAUGGUUGUCGUCAGCUCGUGUCGUGAGACGUUGGGUUAAGUCCCGCAACGAGCGCAACCCUUAAGCUUAGUUGCCAUCAUUAAGUUGGGCACUCUAAGUUGACUGCCGGUGACAAACCGGAGGAAGGUGGGGAUGACGUCAAAUCAUCAUGCCCCUUAUGAUUUGGGCUACACACGUGCUACAAUGGACAAUACAAAGGGCAGCGAAACCGCGAGGUCAAGCAAAUCCCAUAAAGUUGUUCUCAGUUCGGAUUGUAGUCUGCAACUCGACUACAUGAAGCUGGAAUCGCUAGUAAUCGUAGAUCAGCAUGCUACGGUGAAUACGUUCCCGGGUCU
rnacentral:rRNA from 1 species